rnacentral:rRNA from 1 species
GUAGUCAUAUGCUUGUCUCAAAGAUUAAGCCAUGCAUGUCUAAGUAUAAGCAAUUAUACCGUGAAACUGCGGAUGGCUCAUUAAAUCAGUUAUCGUUUAUUUGAUAGUACCUUACUACUUGGAUAACCGUGGUAAUUCUAGAGCUAAUACAUGCUGAAAACCCCAACUUCGGAAGGGGUGUAUUUAUUAGAUAAAAAACCAAUGCCCUUCGGGGCUUCUUGGUGAUUCAUGAUAACUAAACGGAUCGCAUGGCCUUGCGCCGGCGACGGUUCAUUCAAAUUUCUGCCCUAUCAACUUUCGAUGGAAAGGUAUUGGCUUACCAUGGUUUCAACGGGUAACGGGGAAU